GGAGGAUCCGAGCGUUAUCCGGAUUUAUUGGGUUUAAAGGGAGCGUAGAUGGGUUGUUAAGUCAGUUGUGAAAGUUUGCGGCUCAACCGUAAAAUUGCAGUUGAUACUGGCAGUCUUGAGUACAGUAGAGGUGGGCGGAAUUCGUGGUGUAGCGGUGAAAUGCUUAGAUAUCACGAAGAACUCCGAUUGCGAAGGCAGCUCACUGGAGCGCAACUGACGCUGAAGCUCGAAAGUGCGGGUAUCGAACAGGAUUAGAUACCCUGGUAGUCCGCACGGUAAACGAUGGAUGCCCGCUGUUGGUCUGAAUAGGUCAGCGGCCAAGCGAAAGCAUUAAGCAUCCCACCUGGGGAGU
rnacentral:rRNA from 1 species